AAUAACCAAAUAUGAUACUCGGGCUAAGGUUCAAGUUGGUAAUUUUUCUUACAUCUCCCCCUCCCGGAGAUCAAGUAUCAUAUAUGCCCCCAAAUAAAGAGCCUUGAAUACUAGAAGAAAAAUACGUAGAGCUAACAAGAUUAAGUGAAUACCUAAAAUUGUGGUCAUUUUAUUUCGAUUUUUCCA
rnacentral:antisense_RNA from 1 species